ACCACCAUUUGGGUCAUUGAGAUCAUACUUGGGCUGGCAAUCAAGCCUUAUUUUUAUUGGUAAUGAAUAUUCUCUGGCUUAAUGCAUGGUUACUGUGGUUUCCUAGUUCCUAGAACAGUGUCUGGCACAUGGAAGGAAAUCCAAAGUGUUUGUUGAUUCAAUAGCUUAAAUUUUGGUCAUUUUCAUGUUCCAAACAUCCAAUACGGUUCUUCAUAUGCAUUAGCUGAUGGAGAAGCUGAAACCUACAGGCUGUACAGAGGUAUCUCAGAUCAUACCUUUGGUUCAAAUAAAACCCAGAACAGAAGAACUGGAAAGACUGCAGGUGCAGUGACCGCAAGUUCUCUACAGUUGCUAAGAAGAAUCUAAGGAUAUUGAAAGUUAAGUAAGGCCACACCUCAGGAGCCACAUGAAAGAUUGGCUGAACUCCAAAAUGAAGAAGAAAAAUACAUAACGAAUCAUUUUCAGUCUCUACUGGCACCUUCACCACAAAUCUAGUAGACUAAUUAAACACUGUAUGGAUUACAUUCUAUUAAAAACAUAUUGUAUAUGGAGAGAUUAUCUCAUA